rnacentral:rRNA from 1 species
UUAAACCUCUUCCAGAGUAUCAAUUGGAGGGCAAGUCUGGUGCCAGCAGCCGCGGUAAUUCCAGCUCCAAUAGCGUAUAUUAAAAUUGUUGCAGUUAAAAAGCUCGUAGUUGAAUUUCUGCUACAUUGCCCUUUCUCCUUUACGAGUUUGGGUCUUUUGUGGCUUAUCUGGGUUCGCUUGCGUUCCCGGUGUUUUACUUUGAGAAAAUUAGAGUGCUCAAAGCAGGCUUUUGCCUUGAAUAGUUUAGCAUGGAAUAAUAAAGUAGGACUUUGGUUCUAUUUUGUUGGUUUUAGGUACCAAAGUAAUGGUUAAUAGGAACAGUUGGGGGCAUUCGUAUUUAACUGUCAGAGGUGAAA